UUCGCUUUCGCUCCUCUCCUCCCGCGCCGCCGUCCCCGCCGAGAUCGCCAUGGCUCCCCCCUCUCGCCCGCCAACGCCGAUAGCGACGGCGACGGCCGCCUCCUUGUCGUGGGUCGCACUCGUCCACUACAAUCGCCUCCAACGAAACCCGCCGCCGCCACAUCGCACCCGCCUUCCUCCAUUGGAAGCGGAAGGCCAAGGACCAGAACUCCAGAAGCGCGGGAUCUUCCGCCUCCACCUCCGCGAUGAGCUUCCGCUGACCCAUCACAUUCGCUCGCCGCCCAAUGCUCGAAUCGUUUCUGUGCAUCGUGGGAUCAGAUGAUGCGCACGCGGAGGAGGCAGAGCCGCCGGUCGCGUCAUGCUGAUACCUGAUGCCACUUCUUCGACGGGUGGGGACCUGCAGCCGCGGCGGCCUGGUGUUGAUGGAUCAUUGGGUCAACGAGGUGCUCAGGAGUGGCUUUGCUCUUGGAAAGAACUGGGUUCUGUUGUAUCAGUGCGGUGGAAGGAGAUGCGACGAGAGAAGCUUGCUCCUCAUUUGCUACAUUUUAUUUUCUGAACAAGCAGUAGACUUCAUUUUGGGUAAGGUACACUUUGUGCUGCUAUGUGGUUAAUUACUCUGAGCAACAGUCCAAGUUUUGCAUUCUAUAUUUUCAGACCCUAAAGAAAUGGGUGCACUAACUUAAUCAUUGAAAUGCAUACUGCUCAAUUGUUAAUUCAGGAACUGCAUAAGUGUUAAUGUCAGCUCACUUAAUGCCUGCAUUAGUGCAUACUACUGUGAAAGAAAUUACCAUCAAUGUCAACAUACAUACCUUCCUCCAAAAAAAUAAAAUAAAAAAUCAACAUACCUACAAUUCAGAUUUAGUUGUCUACAAUCUACAUCACAGUUUUACACUCCACUUGUACUGUUUCUUUUUUCCAUGUUAUCAUGUUAACCUCUCAGCACGUACUUAAAGCAUGCGGGAUAGGAUAAAUGCAUGCCAGAGUAUACUAGCACAUCCUUAUAUUAUAAGGAUCUGGAAUACCCAAGUGUUUACCAAUUCAAGCAGCAAUGCAGGAUAGAAUAGGCAUCCAUAGGCAUCGUGCAUGCGUAGAAAGACACUGCCAGUGCUUAUACUUAGCAAUAUUUUUGCAUGGCAAGGCAAAAACAUGUUGUUAAAUGGACAUUAGUACGGUAGUACCUAGUCGAAAUGGAUUUUACAGAUUUCAUCAAAGACACUGCACUUCUUGCGGCUGCAGCGCAGCUGCUGCUGUUGAUGCUAUGCUACCAGCUGCUGCACGCAGCCGCAAGAAGUGCAACAACGUUAUGAGCCUCUUUCUCGCUUUCUUUUCCUUUACCCCCUUCUCAGUCGAGGACAGAAACUGAAUGAUUGGAAGACAUGAUGCAUCCUGUGCCACUUGUACAAACUGACACAAAGACAUCUGAAGCUAGAAGCAAGAUUGAUCCUACAAUGUCCCCUGCUGCCAUAGCUGCACCAAUCCCUGCACCCGGGUCUCACUCAAAUCAUUCUACGGCAUUUGAUGAAAAUGAUUGUACAUCCCAGAACAACGUUGUGAACCUCUCCCUUCGCCACCGUCGCCGUGCGGACCAGAUUUCUACGUGUGAUUCAGGGAGACAGGGAGCACACAGUCCUGCGACACUUGUGCAAACAGAGCAAGCUCGGACGUCGCUGUAUUCUACAAUGUUCCCUGCUGCGUGUUGUCAGUUUGUCGCACACACCAGCAUCAAUCCUCCUCCCCACCAAGUCUCUGGCAAAUCAUUUGCUCCUACGUCUACGUGGGAGAGGAUCAGUAUCCAGUAACCCUCCUUUCAAAAGAAAAUGAUUGUACUUUGUCUGGAUUCACAUCCUAACGAGGAUCAAGAAGCCAAGAACUUUGAGCACGCUACAAAAUCUUUGUGCCUAUCCACCUAUGCAAUGGUUUGACAUGGAGAGGGGAAAAAGAUGAAAAUGAAACCAUGACGACAACAGAAAAAGAAAAUCUCCAGAUGUGAUGCCUGCACGCCUAGAUGCAGAGAUUGAUGCGCCCACCACACGCGUGAGAUCAUGGUUUGAAAGAAAAAACAAAAU